rnacentral:rRNA from 1 species
GCAUGCCUAACACAUGCAAGUCGAACGAVACCUUCGGGCCUAGUGGCGCACGGGUGCGUAACGCGUGGGAAUCUGCCCUUGGGUUCGGAAUAACUUCUGGAAASGGMUGCUAAUACCGGAUGAUGUCGUAAGACCAAAGAUUUAUCGCCCAGGGAUGAGCCCGCGUAUGAUUAGCUAGUUGGUGAGGUAAAGGCUCACCAAGGCGACGAUCCUUAGCUGGUCUGAGAGGAUGAUCAGCCACWCUGGGACUGAGACACGGCCCAGACUCCUACGGGAGGCAGCAGUGGGGAAUAUUGGACAAUGGGCGAAAGCCUGAUCCAGCAAUGCCGCGUGAGUGAUGAAGGCCUUAGGGUUGUAAAGCUCUUUUACCCGGGAUGAUAAUGACAGUACCGGGAGAAUAAGCUCCGGCUAACUCCGUGCC